rnacentral:tRNA from 2 species
GGAGGGGUUCCCGAGUGGUCAAAGGGAUCAGACUGUAAAUCUGCCGCCAGGUGGCUUCGAAGGUUCGAAUCCUUCCCCCUCCA